rnacentral:rRNA from 1 species
UCCAGGUCGGUUUCUAUCUAUGUACACGCCUCACCUAGUACGAAAGGAGCGGUGAAGCAAAGCCAAUACUACAAGCACGCUUUAAUAUAAAAUAACCCACUAACAUAAAACUAACCUACCCCAACCAAGAAAAGGUUAAUUAAGAACCAUCUUAAUACAUC